UAACGAAUAUUGGGCAAUGGGCGAAAGCCUGACCCAGCAAUGCCGCGUGCAGGACGAAGUCCUUCGGGAUGUAAACUGCUGUCAGGGGUCCGCAAGCGAAGGGGUCCAACAGGCCCUGGAGUUGAGCAGCCCCAGAGGAAGCCUCGACUAACUCUGUGCCAGCAGUCGCGGUAAGACAGAGGAGGCAAGCGUUGUUCGGAAUCACUGGGCUUAAAGCGCGUGUAGGCGGCUUAGAAAGUGUCGUGUGAAAUCCCGCGGCUCAACCGCGGAACUGCACGGCAAACUACUUGGCUUGAGGUCGGUAGAGGUGCCUGGAACUCUAGGUGGAGCGGUGAAAUGCGUAGAUAUCUAGAGGAACGCCAGAAGCGAAGGCGAGUCCCUGGACAACUCCUGACACUGAGGCACGAAAGCUAGGGGAGCAAACA
rnacentral:rRNA from 1 species